rnacentral:lncRNA from 1 species
UUUUAAAAAAGGCACCCCCCAGAUAUCCAUAGAAUACAGUAGUACUGUUCCCUGGACAAUAAACUCAAAGGAAAGGAAGUGUGGCAUUUUUCAUGUGAGAUUGACCAGGAGAAUAAAGUGACAUAUUCCACUAUAAACAUCAAAUUUUGUGUGAGUGCUAAUCUCUUCAGAGAGUGAUGUUGGGCUUUUCAGCAGACCUUUUUUCUCACAUCUCUGUCUAGACCAGUUUCUUUCAUCUGUGUUCCCAAAUACCUUAGUGCUUCAUUCUCACCUGCAGCCUGCUUUACCUCAGUACUUGUUGAAGUUAUAAGGGUUGUAAAUUCUCAGUCUUUCACCGAAUAAUGUUUAGUAUUAGUCCCCAAGUCUUAGAUCUAAUACAUUUUGGAUCACUGGACUCUUGGAGGGCUCCUGAUAUUGGGGAAUAGCCACUGGACUCCUUCUAUAUUCAGGUAAGGCCCAGAUUUCCCCCAGUCCUCUUUGCUGGAUCUCAGAGGAUGGAGUUUCUGCUUUGGCCUUUUUGACUGUCUUGCCCUGACCAAUCUAUUUUCCCUAAUGCCAGAAGCUUAGGCCUGAACUCUACCUUUCUAUCCUAGGUCUUGGGCUCAUCAGUCUGGGACAGAUCUUCUGAAUGAAGAGGUAUCUGGCUACUACCUGCUGGAUUCUUACUUCAUGUUCUCUACUCAUCUACCUGUAUGUAGUCUCUUCCUGGGGACCAAGGGCUAUUCCUUGGAUCAUGCCUUGUGAAUGUUUGGAAUAGCCCUCAGUUCUGAUCUCCCAAGCGUUGAUGCUCUGCCAUGCACUCCACAAGUGGGAAUACUGAAGCCAAUGGGUAAUUCAGAUCGUACAAGUGACAUUUGCUUACAUGGGCAUUUCAUGAUGGUAACCAGAAGAAAGCUUGGAUACCUGGACAGGGAAUCAGAGAAUUUGGAAGUGGUUUAUUUUUGCAAAUGAAAACAGUGAUUCAAAAUGAUGAGAAUAAAUAAUUGCAUUUGCUCAACAAUAUGACCCUACACUGGGCUA